UGGGGAAUAUUGCGCAAUGGGCGGAAGCCUGACGCAGCGACGCCGCGUGGGUGAUGAAGGCCUUCGGGUCGUAAAGCCCUGUCGGGAGGGAAGAAACCUCGGCGACCCAAUACGUCGUCGACCUGACGGUACCUCCUAAGGAAGCACCGGCUAACUCCGUGCCAGCAGCCGCGGUAAUACGGAGGGUGCAAGCGUUGUUCGGAAUCACUGGGCGUAAAGCGCGUGUAGGCGGUCGGCUAAGUCUGAUGUGAAAGCCCGGGGCUCACCCCCGGAAGGGCAUUGGAUACUGGCCAACUCGAGUGCCGGAGAGGAGGGUGGAAUUCCUGGUGUAGCGGUGAAAUGCGUAGAUAUCAGGAGGAACACCGGUGGCGAAGGCGGCCCUCUGGACGGAUACUGACGCGUGAGACGCGAAAGCGUGGGGAGCAAACAGGAUUAGAUACCCUGGUAGUCCACGCCGUAAACGAUGGGCACUAGGUGUUCGGGGUAUUGACCCCCUGAGUGCCGCAGCUAACG
rnacentral:rRNA from 1 species